UAGGGAAUCUUCGGCAAUGGGGGCAACCCUGACCGAGCAACGCCGCGUGAGUGAAGAAGGUUUUCGGAUCGUAAAGCUCUGUUGUAAGAGAAGAACGCGUGUGAGAGUGGAAAGUUCACACAGUGACGGUAACUUACCAGAAAGGGACGGCUAACUACGUGCCAG
rnacentral:rRNA from 1 species